ACAGGAGCAGCUUCCAAGCCGAGUUCCUGGCGGGCACUGUCCCCCAACAGCAAGCUGGAACAAAGGCCGCAUGACUGAGUGCGCCCGUGCCUGUCAGGGCGCGGGGAAGAAAUCAGAGCUCCACAGCCAGCCUAGCCUGGAGGGAAAGGCAAGCCGAGGCCUUGCUCCUGUAACUGCCAAACUGUCCCCCCUCACGGCGGCCUGCCUUUUCCCAUGUUGGCCCGGGGUCUUCGUCCUCUUGGCCUGGAUUCAAAAGGGCAGUACAAGAAGUGGAAUCCUAAGAAAGGUCUCCCUGAGCUCCAGCCUAUGGAAUGAAACCAUGACAUCUGUUUAUCAGUACCUUGGUUUUCAAGUUCAAAAAAUUUACCCUGUCGCCCUAACCGGUUUGGCUCAGUGGAUAGAGUGUUGGCCUGCGGACUCAAGGGUCCC